GAAACCCUGCCGUGCUCGUCGCGCCGGCGGCAAGUUCUGAGCCAACACCUACCACAUAGGGGGCUAGUCCCUGACGGGGCUGUGCAGGCUGGAUGGGCAGGGCCCGGUGCAGAAGCACAAAACCGUCAUACCGGCUCCCACGUUGUGAGUUCAGGUUUAGAACUCAACCGGUGUACGGCACGGCGGGGUUUUU
rnacentral:other from 1 species